AGUGGCGCACGGGUGCGUAACGCCUAUGCAACCUACCUCGAACUGGGGGAUAGCCCGGAGAAAUCCGGAUUAAUACCGCAUAAGACCACGUGAGGACAUCCGAGUGUGGUUAAAGAUUCAUUGGUUUGAGAUGGGCAUGCGUGCCAUUAGCUAGUUGGUGGUGUAACGGACCACCAAGGCGACGAUGGCUAGGGGUUCUGAGAGGACGGUCCCCCACACUGGCACUGAGAUACGGGCCAGACUCCUACGGGAGGCAGCAGUAGGGAAUAUUGGGCAAUGGGCGGAAGCCUGACCCAGCCAUGCCGCGUGCAGGAUGAAGGCCUUCUGGGUUGUAAACUGCUUUUACAGGGGAAGAAAACGCCCAUGCGUGGGAAACUGACGGUACCCUGGGAAUAAGCACCGGCUAACUCCGUGCCAGCAGCCGCGGUAAUACGGAGGGUGCAAGCGUUGUCCGGAUUUAUUGGGUUUAAAGGGUGCGUAGGCGGCCCAUUAAGUCAGCGGUGAAAGCCCGGGGCUCAACCCCGGAACCGCCGUUGAUACUGGUGGGCUUGAGUAUGGACGAGGUUGGCGGAAUUGAGGGUGUAGCGGUGAAAUGCUUAGAUACCCUCAAGAACACCGAUUGCGUAGCAGCUAACUAGGCCAUAACUGACGCUGAGGCACGAAAGCGUGGGGAGCGACAGGAUUAGAUACCCUGGUAUCCACGCCGUAACGAUGAUACUCGAUGUCGGCGACAGACC
rnacentral:rRNA from 1 species